CAUUUUCAGGUCAUUUGUUUCGUUGUCGCCCACGUUGUAAACUUUUUAUUGAAACAACUGACCCGUGUAACAGUUUUUAUGUAAUGAAAACAAUAAUUGGUGUCACUUAUGUUCAUAACUAGAACUGACAUUUCUGUCGAUUAGUUUGACAGACACUAUACAAUUCCUAGGGUUAGCCAUGAUGGUGACCUCACAGAACCACGACUAAUCCUACAUACCAUCAUGGCCAGACACAGGUUAGAAAUGAUGGUGACCUCACAGAACAACAACUAAUCCUACAUACCAUCAUGGCCAUGCACAGGUGAGAAAUGAACACCCC
rnacentral:lncRNA from 1 species